GCCGAGCCAGGGACCGGUUUGUCAAGAAACCAAAGGACACCUAAGGAUACACGUCAAGUUAGUACAAUCGUCUGUGAUUCACCAUAUUGGUAAACAGGGAUGUAUUUCUCGUGACAAGAAUAUACGUAGAUACGUAAUUUCCUAUGAUCACGACGAUUAAUACGAGACGUAUUAAUUUGAGCGCAUGAGGACGCACAGUUUCUUUCGCAAAGCCAACAGAAUUUAGGAAUCGUUGCAUUGUAACGAAUCUUGUAAACGAAAAGUAUUGGAAGAAUUUGAAAAAGAAGUGUCGAUGUAAAAUACUUAUGAGACGGAUAAACAGUGGGAACUCGCCAUCGCAAUCUGAUAAGACGAUGUCAAAUGAAUCUAAAAACUGGCGCGUUUGCUCUAUGCUCCCGUUUUCCAAGUUUAUUGUGCCGGUUGCCAUGGCGAUCUCUUGGGGACUGGUAACUAGUUGUAACUGUGUAUCACGCUAAGCUUAGAACUUCGCUGUAGACUGUGUCGAAUGCUCGCUGGGACUCGACUGAGAAAACAAUCUACUACCAGCAAGCCACCACCAAACCUAAAUAUGUAAAAUAAAUUUUCGUUGCCACACGUGACACCAGUACAUAAUACUCAUAACAUACACAGCUUUCUAUAUGUAUUCUUAACGUUAUUGUACACGUGGAAAAUUUUUGAAUAAAGCAAAGAAAAAAAUAUGUAUGAAUAACGACAAAUCAUGACUUCGUGUUGGUUUCCUAGAUAUGGUAAGUAUAAUCGACUAAGUAACGUAUAUAGUUCAAAAUAUCGAAGCAUGUAUUUAACGUAAUAAGAGUAUAGGAAGGUCGUCCAGAAAAUACUGCUAACACACUUUUUCCCUCGCAUCAUUCGAAAAUUGAUAAUUGAAUAUCACGUAUAAAACGAGCUGCGUCUUCGUCUUUUUCGCUUGCACUUGACGAGUCUAUUUCGAAUUUCUUUUUGAUAGGUACGUUCCUACGUACUGAUAUCUACGUGGAAGAACGAAAUUAUGUAUCGAAUAGACGAACAAAAUUACAUAUGAUAGUUAACGUUUCAAUAAUCGUUGCUUCGAAUGAUUAGUGCAUUUAAAUUAGUUGAAGAUGACAGUAAAUUAACGAAAGAAAUCUUGAUGUAAUAAUUUUUUAAAUAUAAUUACAAGUUCUAGUCGAUAAAUUACAGAACGAAAUUACCACAUCGGAAUAUGGAAAUCGAAGCAAAAUAUUAUGCUUCACCAAAAGUAAAUGGUGAAAUUACACACACGUUAGAUGUUGCAAUACGAUUUCAAAUACUAAGAAAUAGUGCAGUAUGCACUACUGGAAACGACGAAUUUCUUCCACUUUGAUAUCAUUUAGCUAGCUGCAUAUCUAUUUCAAAUCUCAAUUGCAACUUACAGGCUAUAGUACUUAACAACAAAGAAUGAUGGAGAAACGAAAUUUCGGCCUGUUAGCCUAAAUAAAAGUACUAAGAAUAAAAUAUUAUUAAAUUAUUGCAAAGGUUUAAUGUAAAUAAAAGGUCUUCUAUUGUUAAUUUACUGUCAUUUCUCAGUAUUUUAAAUGUAUUUAUUAUUUAUAAUAAUGAUUAUUAAAAUAUUAACUGUCGAUUUAACUUUUAUAACUUUAUUUAAAUACUAUGACCUUUAAAUACGGAUUUAUCUUGUUUUUCAAUUGUUAUUGAUCCGAGUUAUCGUCUAGUUUACGUUCUUGACCGUUGCUCAACAGUCAAAAGACGCGAAUUCGCAAAUUCAAUAUGACCAUGACACAUGUUACCUAAUCAUAGUCACAAAGGUACUAAGAUUUAUUAAUAUAUUCCAGUUAGAGAUAAUGUGAAGCUCGAUAUUUAUCUUAAAGCAAUGAAUUUUUUCGUGUUAAAUUAUUCACGUACUGACGUAAACAAAGUGCAGUGUUGUUCGUUGUAAAGGAGAAGAUUCUUCCAUCUUUAAAUCUAUGGUGAUUUGGGUGAUUUGAAUUAGUCAUGGUGCUUGGUCCAACUUCCAAAGUCUAAAGAAAAUCUAGAGAUUUUCCAAUUCGCAUUGUCAGUUUAAACGUGUGAUAGAAUAACGACAUUAAAUAUUUAAACACAAAAUUUUGUAUGCUUAUGUCAAUACAUGAAUGGAACUAGGUGAACUUCUAUAAGUACAUUCCAUAGUUUCAUAUGGCUUCUAUAUGUACGCAUACUUUCUGGUUGUCAUCAUAUAUGUAUUUUUUGCUUUGUAUGAACUUUUAUAAAACAUUAAUUAUACGUCCUUAUUACUAAUCUUUCAAGGUAAUUGUAUAAAUGUUGCUAAAUUAAAAAAUUUAUUUAGUCUUAGACAAAUACUAGAAAAUCUUUCGAGGGACAGAAUUUAAGCAUCUCGUUUUAUUAUCGCUAACUGUAAAGAAAACGAACGAAAUUGAAAGGUAAGUAAAUUUAUGUACUUGAAUAGAAGGAGAAACACCCACAAGAGGAGAAUUGGAAUAACAAUGGAACACGUUUGGGUUAAUAGAAUUUCAAUUUAUUAAGUUUUUUUCCCUAGCCGUCGGUGUCUUGAUUCUCAUUUACAAAGGUAUUAUAUGACUGUAGUGGUAUUUUUACUAAUAAAUCGACGAUGGUAGCAAUCAAUUCAAUAACCGUAAUCA